rnacentral:rRNA from 1 species
UGGAAGGGCCAUCGCUCAACGGAUAAAAGGUACUCCGGGGAUAACAGGCUGAUACCGCCCAAGAGUUCAUAUCGACGGCGGUGUUUGGCACCUCGAUGUCGGCUCAUCACAUCCUGGGGCUGAAGUCGGUCCCAAGGGUAUGGCUGUUCGCCAUUUAAAGUGGUACGCGAGCUGGGUUUAGAACGUCGUGAGACAGUUCGGUCCCUAUCUACCGUGGGCGUUGGAAAUUUGAGAGGAUCUGCUCCUAGUACGAGAGGACCAGAGUGGACGAACCUCUGGUGUACCGGUUGUGACGCCAGUCGCAUCGCCGGGUAGCUAUGUUCGGAACGGAUAACCGCUGAAAGCAUCUAAGCGGGAAGCCCACCUCAAGAUGAGAUAUCACGGAUCUUAAGAUCCCUAAAGAGCCCUUGUAGACAACAAGGUUGAUAGGC